rnacentral:rRNA from 1 species
GUGGGGAAUCUUGCGCAAUGGGCGAAAGCCUGACGCAGCCAUGCCGCGUGAAUGAUGAAGGGCUUAGGAUUGUAAAAUUCUUUCACCGGGGACGAUAAUGACGGUACCCGGAGAAGAAGCCCCGGCUAACUUCGUGCCAGCAGCCGCGGUAAUACGAAGGGGGCUAGCGUUGCUCGGAAUUACUGGGCGUAGAGGGCGCGUAGGCGGACAGUUUAGUCAGAGGUGAAAGCCCAGGGCUCAACCUUGGAAUUGCCUUUGAUACUGGCUGUCUUGAGUACGGGAGAGGUGAGAGGAACUCCGAGUGUAGAGGUGAAAGUCGUAGAUAUUCGGAAGAACACCAGUGGCGAAGGCGACUCACUGGCCCGUUACUGACGCUGAGGCGCGAAAGCGUGGGGAGCAAACAGGAUUAGAUACCCCGGUAGUCC